rnacentral:rRNA from 1 species
GACGUAGGGCGCGAGCGUUGUCCGGAUUUAUUGGGCGUAAAGAGCUCGUAGGCGGCUUGUCGCGUCGUCCGUGAAAACCCACAGCUCAACUGUGGGCUUGCGGUCGAUACGGGCAGGCUAGAGUUCGGUAGGGGAGACUGGAAUUCCUGGUGUAGCGGUGAAAUGCGCAGAUAUCAGGAGGAACACCGGUGGCGAAGGCGGGUCUCUGGGCCGAUACUGACGCUGAGGCACGAAGGUCAGGGGAGCAAACGGG